rnacentral:lncRNA from 10 species
AUGAUGGCAUGACUUCAGGGAUACAGAAAAAUAGUGGCUACUGGAUCCCAGGGCAGGACUCACUCUAGUAGUGGGUCCAGUUUCGAGAUGGCACUGUGUCAUACAGCUUUGGUGUGGGGAGUGGGGUGUGUGUGUGUGCACAAAAUGGGCUCCUGUUUUGAGGCAAUGCAGUUACAUGAACUCUAGGCAACUCUCCUAACU